rnacentral:rRNA from 1 species
UACGAAGGGGGCUAGCGUUGUCCGGAAUUACUGGGCGUAAAGCGCGCGCAGGCGGUCUUCCAAGUCAGUGGUGAAAGCCUGGAGCUCAACUCCAGAACUGCCAUUGAAACUGUUAGACUUGAGUACGAGAGAGGUGAGUGGAAUUCCCAGUGUAGAGGUGAAAUUCGUAGAUAUUGGGAAGAACACCAGUGGCGAAGGCGGCUCACUGGCUCGUAACUGACACUCAGGGACGAAAGCUAGGGGAGCGAAUGGG